rnacentral:rRNA from 1 species
UACGAAGGGGGCUAGCGUUGCUCGGAAUCACUGGGCGUAAAGGGCGCGUAGGCGGCCCGCGCAAGCGUGCGGUGAAAGCCCGGGGCUCAACCCCGGGUCGGCCGUGCGGACUGCGGGGCUCGAGCACUGUAGGGGCAGAUGGAAUUCCGGGUGUAGCGGUGGAAUGCGUAGAGAUCCGGAAGAACACCGGUGGCGAAGGCGGUCUGCUGGGCAGUAGCUGACGCUGAGGCGCGACAGCGUGGGGAGCAAACAGG